UUGGAAGUACCCCAAAGGAAUAUCUAUCUAUCCAUCUGUCCUGCCACAAAACAGAUCAUUCUCAACCGCAGUGGAAAUAGAAUCAGCUCCAUUGCCUGGGAAUCAUUCUUGUCAGGAGUGCUUUUGUUCUAACCUACGUAAAGCACAAAAAGUUACCCACAAUUGACACUAGAAAGUGUUUGUUGAAUUGAAUUGCUGUGCAAAGAAGUACUUCCUUUAAAAGACGUAAAAGAAAAAGAACAGUGACAGCUUUGCUGAAGAGAACACAAUGAACUGAAAAGCCACCAGCUUUGAUCAAAACCCUGCCCCAGGAACUCUCCAGCUGCUCAGACAUGGUUUUCUAGCAUCUGUGGGAGCUGUGGAACCUCAGAAAGGGACAACGUGAUCAGGGCUGAAGGAGGAAGAAAAACACAAGCAGACCAGAGGCAGUGACUCUACACACUGUA
rnacentral:lncRNA from 1 species